GACGAACGCUGGCGGCGUGCCUAAUACAUGCAAGUAGAACGCACAGUUUAUACCGUAGCUUGCUACACCAUAGACUGUGGGUUGCGAACGGGUGAGUAACACGUAGGUAACCUGCCUGGUAGCGGGGGAUAACUAUUGGAAACGAUAGCUAAUACCGCAUAAUAUUGAUUAUUGCAUGAUAAUUAAUUGAAAGGUGCAAUUGCACCACUACCAGAUGGACCUGCGUUGUAUUAGCUAGUAGGUGAGGUAACGGCUCACCUAGGCGACGAUACAUAGCCGACCUGAGAGGGUGAUCGGCCACACUGGGACUGAGACACGGCCCAGACUCCUACGGGAGGCAGCAGUAGGGAAUCUUCGGCAAUGGACGAAAGUCUGACCGAGCAACGCCGCGUGAGUGAAGAAGGUUUUCGGAUCGUAAAGCUCUGUUGUAAGAGAAGAACGGGUGUGAGAGUGGAAAGUUCACACUGUGACGGUAUCUUACCAGAAAGGGACGGCUAACUACGUG
rnacentral:rRNA from 1 species